CCCUCCAGAUCUGAUUGGAUCAGGAAAAUAAAACACCUAACUCAAAUAAGCAUCAACCAUAGUUUGGCCACGGAUCUGGAAAUGAAGAGAAAAGUGCAAUUUCCAGAAAUUCCGAGAUCCAGUCUUAUAGCCAUGCUUGGAGCCCAGAGAUUGGCGCUUAGAUAUUCAAGUAUUUGUUGAAGGAAUGAAUGAGUGAAUGAAUGAACAGAGGCUUCGUGACUUCAAGAGACCUCAGUGUAGGAGACUUUCACUCUAUGUCUUUCUUUCACCCAAUUAUUCUACAGAUACCUGUC